GCAGAGGUGGCAGAGCGGUCUAUUGCGGCGGACUACUAAUCCGUUUCUCGAAAGAGAGCAGGGGUUCAAAUCCCUUCCUCUGCG
rnacentral:tRNA from 1 species